rnacentral:rRNA from 1 species
CGCAUCUGUGCAUGCAGCAUAUCAAUAAGCGGAGGAAAAGAAACUAACAAGGAUUCCCCUAGUAACGGCGAGUGAAGCGGGAAGAGCUCAAACUUGAAAUCUUAAAGGGUUUCCCUUUACGAAUUGUAGUUUAAAGAAGUGUUUUCUGUUGAGGUUUUGGUAAAAGUUCUUUGGAAUAGGACAUCAUAGAGGGUGAGAAUCCCGUAUUUGACCUUUACUUUCAACUUUGUGAUACACUUUCAAAGAGUCGGAUUGUUUGGGAAUGCAGUCCAAAAUGGGUGGUAAAUUUCAUCUAAAGCUAAAUAUUGGCGAGAGACCGAUAGCGAACAAGUACCGUGAGGGAAAGAUGAAAAGAACUUUGAAAAGAGAGUUAAACAGUACGUGAAAUUGUCAAAAGGGAAGCGUUUGACACCAGUGUUGUUUUUCUGAAAAUCAAUUAAAGAACUGUUUAUGCUAAGUUGUUUAGACUUUAUCAGCUAACUGUUUAGUUUUGAGCUUUUCUUUAAUGCACUUUUCAGUUAACAAGUCAACAUCAAUUUCUUUUGCUGUGAAAAAGCUUGAGGAAGGUGGCUUGAGAUUCGUCUUAAGUGUUUAUAGCCUCUUGCCUAUGCAGUCGGAGAGAUUGAGGUCUGCAGCGUAGAUCCUUCGGGGCUAAAUGCAUUUGUGCUAAGUUAUAGCAUUUUAUAGACAACUUGUUGACUAUGAUUUGUCUUGUAGCUUACUCGCUUAUGUUAUUUUACCUACGCUUAGGAUGUUGAACGCGCACAGAGUCUC